UUUUUUUUUUUUACCUUCAAAUCAUUUUUGUGUCUUAUCUGAUGUACCUGAAGCUCUUUGCGUUGCUGCCACCAUUUAUGUGUAGAAAGAAGACUGCAAGGGAGUAAUACAGACUGAAGGCUUAUGUUCAUCAACUUGAAAACAGCAGAUUGAAGCUCAGCCAACUUGAGCAGGAGCUCCGGAGGGCACGCCAACAGGUAGGAUGAUUAUAUGGAUGUUUUUCUUACCUGUCGAAUAUUUUUCAGGGAAUGUUUAUUUCAAGCAAUGGAGAUCAAGCACAUUCUACAGGUGGAAAUGGCUAUUGCCAUAUCAUAUGUUAUGGCUGACUACAAGGCCGAGGAAGAUGACAGGAUACUCGACAGCAAUACAACUGGCCAAAUCCCAUCUCGUCUCCAGCAAUGGGAUCACAUCACUCGCGAAGAUUGCGGAGCCAACCGCUACUUUCGAGCAGCAGGUCCUCGCUUUCAACAUC